AUAUAUGUUCAAAUAUAGUUAUAAUUAUAAUAUAUAAUUAAAAUGUAAAAAUAUCGACUUGUAUUUAAUUAAUUUUAAUCAUUUCUUAUUAAUAAUUAUUAUCAAACACACGAUUUUUAUCUCCAUCUCUAUAAAUACAAUAUAAUAUUUCGUAUAUUAUGUCUCAACCGAACAAUAUAUUAAUUUAAAAUGUGAUACACACCUAUUUGAAUAUUAAUUAUUAUUAAUCAGUGGCGGCUCGUACUAUAUGGCACACAGAAGCAAUGCACCACCUAUAAUUUUAAUAACUAUAAUGCAUCAUUUUGGGAACUGAUUAUUUCUUUUGAAUAAUAUUAAAUUUGUGCAAAGUGCGGUAAUAUCUCCAAAAAUACUCUAAAGAAAAUACUGACCAACCUGGUUAACAUUCAAUUCCUCAAUAAUAAUACAACGAAAACAAACGUAAUUCUUUAAUAUAUUGUAGAUUUCUAUCUAAGAACCUCCUAUAUAAAAUAAAUACAAAUGUAUUCAUAUUUCAAUAAAAUAUUUGUUUUAGUUCCUGUUUUCUGAAAAGACUAUACUUAUUGUAAAACAUUUUUUAAAUUUGCACCACCAAUUAUUUUACCCAUAAGCCACCCCUGGUAUUAAUGGUACGUUAUUUUAUAAUAAAUAUAUAUUGAAUUUAUAUAGUUUAAAAAUGUACAAUUAAUUAGAGUAUACGAGUGAAAUAUUUUUUUUUAAUGUUUAAAAAUAACCUAUAAUAUAUUAUAACUUAAUAUUAUUAGAUUCAGCGAUUCUCUCUUUCUCCUUUCCUUCCUCCCUCUAAUAACCUGUUUUUUUUUCCAUUUGCAAUCUUUAUGAGGAUUUAAAAAUGACAUCUCUAAUCGUGUUAUACCCACCACCAUGACGAAAACAAACGCUGCAGUAUUAAAAUACAUUAUUUAACAUUAUAAAUUAAGUAAUGAGAAAAUUCCGUUUAAAUUAAAAUAAAUAUAUAAUAAAGGCGUGAAAUAGUAUUAAAUUAAUUACCGUGUACAGCAUAACGAACAGGUAUAAUCUUCAAAAAAUGCAAAAUCAUCCAUUAAACAUGGUAUACGAC